GUGGGGAAUAUUGGGCAAUGGGGGCAACCCUGACCCAGCGACGCCGCGUGAGGGAAGAAGGCCUUAGGGUCGUAAACCUCUGUUGUGUGGGAAGAAGGAAGUGACGGUACCACACGAGGAAGUCCCGGCUAACUACGUGCCAGCAGCCGCGGUAAUACGUAGGGGACGAGCGUUGUCCGGAAUUACUGGGCGUAAAGGGCGCGUAGGCGGUCAUUUAAGUCAGCUGUGAAAUGGUCCGGCUCAACCGGAUCAUGCGGUUGAAACUGGAUGACUGGAGUGAUGGAGAGGCAAGUGGAAUUCCCAGUGUAGCGGUGAAAUGCGUAGAUAUUGGGAAGAACACCGGUGGCGAAGGCGACUUGCUGGCCAGCAACUGACGCUGAGGCGCGAAAGCCAGGGGAGCAAACGGGAUUAGAAACCCCAGUAGUCC
rnacentral:rRNA from 1 species